rnacentral:rRNA from 1 species
GUGGGUAAUCUUGCGCAAUGGGCGAAAGCCUGAUCCAGCCAUACCGCGUGGGUGAAGAAGGCCUUCGGGUUGUAAAGCCCUUUUGUUGGGAAAGAAAUCCUGUCGAUUAAUACUCGGUGGGGAUGACGGUACCCAAAGAAUAAGCACCGGCUAACUUCGUGCCAGCAGUCGCGGUAAUACGAAGGGUGCAAGCGUUACUCGGAAUUACUGGGCGUAAAGCGUGCGUAGGUGGUGGUUUAAGUCUGCUGUGAAAGCCCUGGGCUCAACCUGGGAAUUGCAGUGGAUACUGGAUCACUAGAGGGUGGUAGAGGGAUGCGGAAUUUCUGGUGUAGCAGUGAAAUGCGUAGAGAUCAGAAGGAACAUCCGUGGCGAAGGCGGCAUCCUGGGCCAACACUGACACUGAGGCACGAAAGCGUGGGGAGCAAACAGGAUUAGAAACCCCGGUAGUCC